rnacentral:rRNA from 1 species
UACGUAGGGUGCGAGCGUUGUCCGGAAUUACUGGGCGUAAAGAGCUCGUAGGUGGUUUGUCGCGUUGUUCGUGAAAACUCACAACUCAAUUGUGGGCGUGCGGGCGAUACGGGCAGACUGGAGUACUGCAGGGGAGACUGGAAUUCCUGGUGUAGCGGUGGAAUGCGCAGAUAUCAGGAGGAACACCGGUGGCGAAGGCGGCUUGCUGGGCCUUACCUGACGCUGAGGAGCGAAAGCGUGGGGAGCGAACAGG